rnacentral:rRNA from 1 species
AUUGAACGCUGGCGGCAUGCCUUACACAUGCAAGUCGAACGGCAGCACGGGAGCAAUCCUGGUGGCGAGUGGCGAACGGGUGAGUAAAGUAUCGGAACGUGCCCAGUCGUGGGGGAUAACGUAGCGAAAGUUACGCUAAUACCGCAUACGAUCUAUGGAUGAAAGCGGGGGAUCGCAAGACCUCGCGCGAUUGGAGCGGCCGAUAUCAGAUUAGGUAGUUGGUGGGGUAAAGGCUCACCAAGCCGACGAUCUGUAGCUGGUCUGAGAGGACGGCCGGCCAAGCUGGGAGUGAGACACGGCCCAGACUCUGACGGGAGGCAGCAGUGGGGAAUUUUGGAUAAUGGGCGAAAGCCUGAUCCAGCCAUGCCGCGUGCAGGAUGAAGUCCUUCGGGUUGUAAACUGCUUUUGUACGGAACGAAAAGGUUUGGGCUAAUAAGCUGAGCGCAUGACGGUACCGUAAGAAUAAGCACCGGCUAACUACGUGCCAGCCGCCGCCGUAACAC